CUCCAUCAUUGAAAGCUAGCCUGGGCAACACACUGGAACAACUUCCCAGCCAUGGAAGAGGAUGCUCUUGUUUAUCGGCGACACUGUCACCCUUUAACUGUUAUCAGAUUCUGACUUGGCACAGACAACAUUC